GGAGUGAUUUUAUGUUAACACUGUAUUUCCCUAUCGUCUGCUUAUUGCCCAGAAAUGGGUCCCGCAGCUUUAAGCCAGAUCCGAGAGAGAGUGGGGGGAAGGCGGUGGAGUUCCUUCAUUGCUGUGUUCAAAAACACAGAUAACUUGCUCGCUCUCUUCCCAGCUCUCGGCUCUGCAACAGCAAAGAGAGUUGCAUUUUUUUGCUUUUUAGGGAGCUUCUCAUUCAUUAGCUGAGGCAGGAAGUUUUCUUGGGACUGCAGCUUCUUCUUCUUCUCCAGGAACUGUUCAGUCUUGCUCUGGUCCGGAACACCAUCACUGGGAGGCCCUACACCAUGGCCUGGAGGGGCCCACGCUGCACCUCAGCCCCAGAGAGAGCAGAGCCACAUCUACAGAAAGGAUUUUGAACCUUCCAGGUUUUCUCCACAGUGAGAGAAAUUCCUUUCAAACCUGUGGGGGAGGGGCUGCCGAAAUCUGCCUUCCAUUUAGAGGAUACGCUCAUUUCAGGACAUCUUCUCCUAAUUUGUCUCAACUGAGGCGCCUUUCAGAUUUUGGAGAGCCAUUUGCCAUGCUGCUUUGUGAAUUACUAGCAUCUAUAUAGCCACUGAGUGAGUUUACAUCAUAGCCUGCACUGGAAUGAAGACACCUGAACCAGCACACGUGCCAGAUGCAGUGGAGUCCCAACAGUACUGAGUUCAGCAUGAGCUUAUUCCUUCCACUCAUGUCAUCACAAUACAGGCAGCCGUCUGUUACCAAUGCUAAUUGGAGCCUCACAGAGUUUUGAAAACAGAAUUAGUGCUAUGGUUUCCACACUGAGCUAACUCGGUCAGGAUCAGCCUCAUGAACAGUCUUUUUUGCUUUAUGAAAGAUACUAUGCCGUCCAAUUGCAAGGAGCCACUUCAGGUCCGAAGGUGUGUCCAGCAUCUAAACCAAUAAGCCCUCCAGAUAUGAGAGAGUGCAUGGUGUGAAGACAGAUGGAACAGCUCUUGGUCACUGGCAAGGGCUCAGCACAGCGUGGAAGCAGUUAAAAUCUUCUGAGCCAAGGAUAGAUGCCAUUGCACUCAUGUGGCUCUAUACUUGGGCAGCAAUCUGUGCAGGAUUUGUACUGGCCUGCUUAGAUCAGCUGGGAAACUUUUGCACCUCUGGCAUGAUUUAGCUACAGUAUGGAUUGCUACUUCUCAGAUGAUGCAAAAUUUACUGAAUCUGAGUUACGUCUGACCAGAUGUAGAUGUUAAUAAUGUAUGCAUCUGAGCAACUCAGCCCAAUUCCUUGUGUGGUCAACUGAGAAAAACAAUAGCUUUCAGGUUGUGAUCUUUCUUCCUGAUGAGAAUUGCUCUUCAGUUUGCCUAAUUCUCUACACUGAAUAAAAGAAGCCACAAGUGCCUAUCUCAAAUAUGGACAUAUAACAUGAUGUCUAGAGCUAGCUGCCAUCAUCAUCUUUAUCAUCUACCAUGGGUCCAGUGCCUUACUAUUUUAAAAUGCCUUAUCAAACAUCUCUUGUAGAAAGAACAAAAAAACCUGAUAUUUCAUUUAUAAAUUGACAUAGGAGGGACAUGUUUUGCAUGUUUGGAGUUCACAGAAGCUGUAGAGAACUGAAAUUAUUUGACCCUGUGAGACAUCUGUUUGCUUUGUCAUUUUGGGAAUAAGCAGAACAUUUUGUAUGGCACUGAUACAAAAUACAACAGUGGCUUCAGGACAAUGAUCCUGCCUAUAAUUAGGUUCAUAACAUCAAAACAAAACAACUCAUUUUGUAAGUUUCUAAGGCUCUUGUGACACUGGUCUAAAAUGCUAGAUCAUACUGCUAUUCAGAUAAUUAUAGAUGCAGAAGGAAAUACAUAAACUCUCAGUUAAUUGAGUGGAUAAAAAGUUAGUACCUACAUCCAAAGGACAGCUUUGGAUGAAUGAGCCUCAGCUAAAGGGACCAACCAUAUGGUAGGUUUGUAAGUGCACAUAUUGUAUUAAUCUUGAGAGUUGCUAAGUACUCAGCGCUGAAGUUGAAGAAUGGGCCAAGAGGAAUGUUGCAUAGAACACUUCACAUAUUUUUGAAACAACUUUGUUUUGUUGAGAAUAAAAUUAACAAUGAGUUUGGAGGCAAGAAACAAAAGGGUGGAAAGGAAAAGACCAACUUCAUCUAUUUUGAAAGACAAAAUAUCAGACUGUUGAAAUGUGCUGUUUUGACACCUUCAAACUACUAAAUUAGUAACAGCUAAUCUUUUUAAGAACAGAAAAUAAUUUCUUGCCCACAUCUAAAUCUACUACUGUUGUAAGUAUCAUGUGUAAGUAUGAUAGCAGACUGUUGGAGACAGUCUGAGGGCAACGCUCAUUUAAACCCAAAAUUUAUGACUGAAGCAUUUGGAGUUUUCAGACACCUACAAAACAUGUGUUCAGCGGGCUAUCACUUGUUAAUACCACAACUACAGAAUGGGGUUUUUUUGCAAAAUAUUAAAUGAAUUUUUGAAGAAGACAGCACUAAAUUUGUUAACUACUAAUUUACAUGGUAAGCAAUAUUGAUCAUAUGACUUAAUAUGUCUUUUGGUUACAUGUCUACUUAUUUAUAAAACUUAAUGUGCUGCUGUAAUACAGUAUUUUUGAAAUAAAAGCCAGGUCAGAGCUAGGAAACUGUUUGUAUAAGGUCUUGAUAUAAUGAAAGGACAGUAUGUUCUGAUCACUAUACUUGUCGUCAGACAGAGGUAUAUCACUGAAACAGUGUGCUUCAACACCUGUCUUCUGCGGCUAAUAAAAAUUAUGCAGAUUGUACAAGGUAACUUUGGCCAUGUUACUCCAGCUAGCAACUAAGCUGACCUAGUCACUCUGUCACUCCCCUCUAGCAGGAAGGGUCAGAAGACCAAGAAUGAAGAGCAAAAAGAAGAGCAGAAGAAUCAGAAGAGCGAAAAUGAAAAAAAUCAUAGGUCAAGAUAAAGACAGUUGAAAAUGUGAAGCAAAACUGCAUGCACAAGCAAAGUAAAAUAAGGAACUCAUUCAGUACUUACCACCCAUGAUCAUUUUUCAGCCAUCUCCUGUAAAGCAGGGCCUCAGGACACACGAUAACUACUUGGGAAGACAAACAGCAUCACUCUGGAUAUCCCUCAUUCCUCCUCCUUUCCUCCAGUUUUUAUUGCUGAACGUGACAUGAUGUGGUAUAUAAUAUCCCUUUGGCUAGUUGGGUCACCUGUCCUGUCUGUGUCUCCUCCCAGCUUCACGUGCACUCCAACCUACUCAUUGCAGGGUCAGAGUGGGAAAAAAGAAAAUCUCAAUAUGGUGUUGCAUUGUUAGCCAGAGCCAAAACGCUGGUGUAUUAUCAACACUGGUUUAAUCACAAAUUAAAGAGACAGCACGCUGCUGCUAUGAAGAAAAUUCCCUCCAUCAUUUCCAGUUUCAGUACAGUAACUGAGGAGUCUUUUGUCAAAUAAAACCAACAAAUUAGAAAAAAACAUUUUAGGGCUGUACUUUGGCAGAUUUUACUUGUGUUACUCUAUAUAAAUAGUAGAACUUAUGGCAGUACAGUUGUAUAAGUUGUGCAUGCUUAGGAGUUUUUUUGUCAGUUUAGCAGGAGAAAAGCCAUACAACUGUUUUCCUUUUGACCUUCUGUGGCAGGGCAUAUCACCCCUCUCCCCACUAUAGGCAGCCAGUGCAGAUAGGAGAGAUAACCCAGGCAGGCAAGGCCCAGUGGGUAGCAUCUCCUGGUGCCAAAAAGUCUGCCAGUUUAACAGGUGUGGGAAGAGAUUAAAAAACAUACGUGACCAAAAGGCCUGUUUUUACACUACAAAAGUAUUACAGUUUAUCACAGAGGCAGAAGUCUCUUACACACUCCUUGGGAAUGUGUGAGAUGAUAUCUUCUUGAAGACUGAAUGCAAAUUUUGCAGUUACUUUUCUGAAAUUGAGAGAAAGAAAUUCAAUGUCUGCCCCUUCAAGAAUUGGUGGUAAGAAACAUUGAAUCCUAAGUUAUACUAUUUCUUAGCUAGCUGUAAAUUUAACGGUACCCUCAACUCCACAUGUGUACUAGUAUCCCCUUUUUGUCUUAUCCCUGUGUAGUAAU